UACAGAGGGGCAAGCGUUAUUCGGAAUUAUUGGGCGUAAAGGGCGCGAGUAGGCGGCCUGGCAAGUGGAAGGUGAAAUCCCUCGGCUUAAACCGAGGAACUCGCCCUCCAAACUGCUUGGCUUGAGUCCGGGAGAGGUGAGUGGAAUUCCCAGUGUGAGCGGUGAAAUGCGUAGAUAUUGGGAGGAACACCAGUGGCGAAGGCGGCUCACUGGACCCGGAACUGACGCUGAGGCGCGAAAGCGUGGGAGCAAACGGG
rnacentral:rRNA from 1 species